rnacentral:rRNA from 1 species
CCUACGGGAGGCAGCAGUGGGGAAUAUUGGACAAUGGGGGCAACCCUGAUCCAGCGACGCCGCGUGUGUGAAGAAGGCCUGCGGGUUGUAAAGCACUUUUAGUGGGGAUGAAAUGUGCAGGGUUAAUACCUCUGCAUUUUGACCUAACCCAC